AACUUUUAAAGGAUGGUAGUUAUCCAUUGGUCUUAGGAGCCAAAAAU
rnacentral:tRNA from 1 species